rnacentral:rRNA from 1 species
AUUGAACGCUGGCGGCGUGCUUAACACAUGCAAGUCGAGCGGUAACAGGUGUAGCAAUACAUGCUGACGAGCGGCGAACGGGUGAGUAAUGCUUCGGAAUCUUCCUCGUAGUGGGGAAUAACCUGGGGAAACUCAGGCUAAUACCGCAUACGAACUACGGUUGAAAGCAGGGGAUCGCAAGAACGUGCGCUAUGAGAUGAGCCGACGUCGGAUUAGUUCGUUGGUAAGGUAAAGGCUCACCGAGGCGACGAUCCGUAGCUGGUCUGAGAGGACGAACAGCAACAGUGGGACUGAGACACGGCCCAGACUCCUACGGGAGGCAGCAGUGGGGAAUAUUGGAAAAUGGGGGCAACCCUGAUCCAGCGACGCCGCGUGUGUGAAGAAGGCCUGCGGGUUGUAAAGCACUUUUAGUGGGGAUGAAAAGCCGAAGGCUAAUACCUUUCGGUCUUGACCUAACCCAAAGAAAAAGCACCGGCUAACUCUGUGCCAGCCGCCGCCGUAA